AUUUCUCUAAAGGAGUACUCUAGAGUCAGUACAGUAAUGUAUUUGAAGUCGAUAAUGAUUUGGAGGGACAAGACACAAUUGCAGACGAAGUAAAAGAGAUUAUGAAUCUAGCUGAAGACAGUUUUGUGAAACGUAAUAUCAAUGAAGAUAAAAAACACUAAUAAUAAUACUUUGGAACUGAAGAGAUAUGCAAAGGAUUCUUUACCGAGUACUAGGCGUGUUGUAAUGUGAUACUUUUUCAAAAAGAAACUUCUCAAUAUGUAUAGUUAUAAAGAAUAAAAUGGAAAAAAAGUGUUCUAAGCAUUAACAAUAUGUUGAGUUAUAUUUGACUCCAUCAAUCUAAUGAAUAAAUAUUUGAUACGAUUGGAAUAGAGACCCCACAAAGGAUUUUCAUUUCUGGUGCCAAAUUCUGAGAUGUCCCUAAAACUAAGACUA